rnacentral:rRNA from 1 species
UACGUAGGGACCAAGCGUUGUCCGGAAUCAUUGGGCGUAAAGAGCGUGUAGGCGGCUUGUUAAGUCUUGCGUGAAAUCUCGGGGCUCAACCCCGAGCGGUCGUGAGAAACUGGCAGGCUAGAGUGCGGGAGAGGAGAGUGGAAUUCCUGGUGUAGCGGUGAAAUGCGCAGAUAUCAGGAGGAACACCUGUGGUGUAGACGGCUUUCUGGACCAUAGCUGACGCUGAGACACGAAAGCGUGGGUAGCAAACAGG